AACCAGCCAUGCCGCGUGCAGGAAGACGGCCCUAUGCGUUGUAAACUGCUUUUAUACGAGAAUAAAAAGAGCUACGUGUACACAGCUUGAAAGUACCGUAAGAAUAAGGAUCGGCUAACUCCGUGCCAGCAGCCGCGGUAAUACGGAGGAUCCAAGCGUUAUCCGGAUUUAUUGGGUUUAAAGGGUGCGUAGGCGGUUCGGUAAGUUAGAGGUGAAAGCCCGUUGCUCAACAACGGAACUGCCUCUGAUACUGUCGGGCUAGAGAGUGGUUGCCGUAGGCGGAAUGUGUGGUGUAGCGGUGAAAUGCUUAGAGAUCACACAGAACACCGAUUGCGAAGGCAGCUUACGAAGCCACAUCUGACGCUGAUGCACGAAAGCGUGGGGAGCAAACAGGAUUAGAUACCCUGGUAGUCCACGCCGUAAACGAUGAUAGCUCGUUGUCGGCGAUAUACGAUCGGUGACUUAGCGAAAGCGUUAAGCUAUCCACCUGGGGAGUACGUUCGCAAGAAUGAAACUCAAAGGAAUUGACGGGGGCCCGCACAAGCGGAGGAACAUGUGGUUUAAUUCGAUGAUACGCGAGGAACCUUACCCGGGCUUGAAAGUUGAGUGACGAAUCUGGAAACAGAACUUCCCUUCGGGGCACGAAACUAGGUGCUGCAUGGUUGUCGUCAGCUCGUGCCGUGAGGUGUCGGGUUAAGUCCCAUAACGAGCGCAACCCCUACUGUUAGUUGCCAUCGGGUGAUGCCGGGAACUCUAUCAGGACUGCCGGUGUAAACCGUGAGGAAGGUGGGGAUGACGUCAAAUCAGCAC
rnacentral:rRNA from 1 species